rnacentral:rRNA from 1 species
GACGAACGCUGGCGGCGUGCUUAACACAUGCAAGUCGAACGGAAAGGCCCUGCUUUUGUGGGGUGCUCGAGUGGCGAACGGGUGAGUAACACGUGAGUAACCUGCCCUUGACUUUGGGAUAACUUCAGGAAACUGGGGCUAAUACCGGGUAGGAGCUACUGCUGCAUGGUGGGGGUUGGAAAGUUUCGGCGGUUGGGGAUGGACUCGCGGCUUAUCAGCUUGUUGGUGGGGUAGUGGCUUACCAAGGCUUUGACGGGUAGCCGGCCUGAGAGGGUGACCGGCCACAUUGGGACUGAGAUACGGCCCAGACUCCUACGGGAGGCAGCAGUGGGGAAUAUUGCACAAUGGGCGGAAGCCUGAUGCAGCAACGCCGUGUGCGGGAUGACGGCCUUCGGGUUGUAAACCGCUUUCGCCUGUGACGAAGCGUGAGCGACGGUAAUGGGUAAGGAAGCACCGGCUAACUACGUG